CAGACUUGUUCCAACAACUUGUUAUCGUCCUGCAAUUCAACAAUUUGUCAACAAGUUGUGAGUGACAACCUUGUAGCAACUUGAUAAAAUGACAGCAUUGUUACAACUUGUUGACAAGCUUGCUACAAGCCUGUUGCGAACACAUCUUGUUGACAAGUUGUGAGAUUUUUACAUGUGUACAGGUAUAUAUAUAAAAACGCACAAGUUGUUACAAGUCUGCAAACAAGUUGUUACAAGUCUGUUCACAAGCUGUCGACAAGUUGUGUUCGCAUUGCUUGUUCCCAGUUGUUGUAACAAGUUUGGAACAAGCUGUUAACAACUUGUAACAAGCUUGAUGGCAUUAUAAGACUUGUUACAAGGAUGUUCUAACAAGUCUGAUACAGUCAUGAUAUAACAAGAAUGUUACAAGGUUGACGACACAAGGUUG